rnacentral:rRNA from 1 species
UAGGGAAUCUUCGGCAAUGGACGAAAGUCUGACCGAGCAACGCCGCGUGAGUGAAGAAGGUUUUCGGAUCGUAAAACUCUGUUGUUAGAGAAGAACAAGGACGUUAGUAACUGAACGUCCCCUGACGGUAUCUAACCAGAAAGCCACGGCUAACUACGUGCCAGCAGCUGCGGUAAUACGUAGGUGGCAAGCGUUGUCCGGAUUUAUUGGGCGUAAAGCGAGCGCAGGCGGUGUCUUAAGUCUGAUGUGAAAGCCCCCGGCUCAACCGGGUAGGGUCAUUGGAAACUGUGAUACUUGAUUGCAGAAGAGGAGAGUUGAAUUCCAUGUGUAGCGGUGAAAUGCGUAGAUAUAUGGGGGAACACCAGUGGCUAAGGCGGCUCUCUGGUCUGUAACUGACGCUGAGGCUCGAAAGCGUGGGGAGCAAACAGG